rnacentral:lncRNA from 1 species
GCCCGGCUCCAGUCGCUCUGGAUGCGCAGCGCGGCCGCCAUCUUGGCGAGGCGCCCUCCUCCUUCCCGUCAGCCCCCGCGCGGCGGAAGCGGGGCUGCGCCGUCCAAUCAGCGCGCGGCCUCUCUCCCCGCUCCCCGGCGGAGCCCCGCCCACGGCGCGGGAACCCGGAAGCGGGGCUUAAAGGGGCCGCGCCGCGCUGCUCGGGUGCGGGGGGCACCCAUGGGUGCAUGGGGGGGAGGAGCUCGGGGGGGGAAUAAGGGGGUGCUGAGCACCCAUGGAGAGUGUAUGGGUGUCCUGGGGGUGCUGGGUGCCCUGGGGGCUGCUGGGCACCCCUGGGUGCAUUAGGGGUGCUGGGUGCCCUGAGGGGGUGCAUGGGGGCUCCUGGGUGCUCUGCGGGGUGUUGGGCACCCAUGGGUGCAUGGGGAGGGUGCUGGGUGCCUGGGGGGUUCUGGGCACCCAUGGGUGCCCUGUGGGUGCUGGGUGCCCUUUGGGGGUGUAUGGGGGGUGCUGGGCACCCAUGGGUGUAUGGGGAGGGUGCUGGGUGCCCUGGGGGCUGCUGGGCACCCCUGGGUGCAUUAGGUGUUCUGGGUGCCCUUUGGGGGUGUAUGGGGGGUGCUGGGUGCCCUGCGGGGUGUUGGGCACCCAUGGGUGUAUGGGGAGGGUGCUGGGUGCUUGGAGGGUGCUGGGCACCCAUGGGUGCAUGGUGGGUGGGUGCUGAGCACCCCUGGGUGCCCUGGGGGCUGCUGGGCACCCCUGGGUGCAUUAGGGGUGCUGGGUGCCCUGAGGGGGUGCAUGGGGGCUCCUGGGUGCUCUGCGGGGUGUUGGGCACCCAUGGGUGCAUGGGGAGGGUGCUGGGUGCCCUAGGGGGUUCUGGGCACCCAUGGGUGUAUGGGGAGGGUGCUGGGUGCAUGGGGAGUGCUGGGCACCCAUGGGUGCAUGGGGGGUGCUUGGUUCCCUGGGGAGUGCUGGGUGCCCUAGGUGGUGCACAGGGAGGUGCUGGGUGCCCUGGGGGAGUAUUCAGCACCCAUGGGUGCCCUGGGGAGUUCUGGGUACCCUAGGUGGUGCACAGGGGGGUGCUGGGCACCCAUGGGUGCAUGGGGGGUGCUGGGUGUUCUGAGGGUUGCUGAGCACCCAUAGGUGGGGGGUGGCAGGGUGCUGGGCGAACACCCCCAAAAUUCAGGGGAGGCAGCACCCCACUGUCCCCCCACCCAAUUCACCCCCAAACCACCUCCAGCAGCGGGGCGAUGGCGAAGCCCGGCCACUCCUGGAACCGCCGCAGGUCCAAAAAGGAGGAAGAGGAAGAGGAGGAGGAAGGCGAGGACCCCGUGGACGCGAUGAUCGCGCGGACGGGCUGCACGGCGCAGCACUGGGCGCUGCAGGAGUGCAUGGCCGAGCACCGCGACUGGCGGCGCUGCCAGCCCCAC